GCGCGGCCCCGAGUGUAUCGCCUUUGUUUGGCUGCCGAGAAAACGAGGGAAAACCUUUUCCGUUUCAUAUUUCAAUACGACGGAAAAUUGUCACCAACUCAUGAUUCUUGCGGAGAUUUCUAUACUUCUUCUUCUUUCUAUCAAUCGAAGGGAAUCAGUUGGUGUCGAACUGCUAAAAUAUCUACUGCAAUAGCGAAGGCUGAUACGGCGUGUAUCACUCAAGAACUGUUGCUUUGAUUUUUGAUACGAGAUACCGAAUGCUGCCAUUUCGGCUGGAGAUUCUUAUUCAUUUUCUGUCAAUACGUAUGGAACUGCUAAUUGAGCGCGGUACUGGCUGUUUCGUUGUAGCUGCGAUGGUGGAAGCUCAUACGAGGUGUAUUUCGAGCCUUGCUGACCUGCGGAACAGUUGCUUCUACCUCUCAUAGGACUAAUGGUAACAGCAAUGGUGAACAUUUGGUAUGGUUGCUUCUAUCUCUCAGAGAGACUGAGCGUAGAGGUAUGUAUGAAAAGUAUUUUGGUCAUAUUUAUAUGAUGUCUUUUUUCUCUCCCUUUUCCCCCAAACUUUUAGGUAUUUUAUGGACAAAUACGAGAAGAUAAUAAAACAUCAAAAAAGAAAAGAUUUUUAAAAAAUGUAGGGGCAUUCCGAGAAUUGAACUCAGGACCUCUCGCACCCUAAGCGAGAAUCAUACCACUAGACCAAAUGACCAAUGGUGAUGAAUGUUGUUAAACUAUAAUACUUCUAACUGAAAUGGAAUGACAUACUUUCAAUUGCACGUUAAUGGAAGUACUAUAUCUGGGCCGCUUAAAUUGAAUAAUUGAUUUACUGUUUAGCUUAACCUAAGUGGGAGCAUUGCCGAAUCGAUACACGCACUCAAAACGAGAAUCAUACACUGUACAAGCUAUUAUUAUCAUCAUUUUUUGGAGUUUCCAUUUCAUGGGUGUUGAAUGAUUAUAUUUUGUCCUUGGAGCACGAAUUCUGCUGUUAUGGAUAAAACUGCCGUAGAAUGGAAAAUGGGCAGAUAUCAAGCAGGAACCGGAAACAACGAUAAUUACCACCAUUAGGGCUCGUUCUUUAUAUACUUAACUAAUGUUUGCUUUGAUUUUAGACGAACAAUCAGAAAUAUCUAGUGGAGUAUUCUCGAAUAAAAACAUCGGUCCUCUUCCUCUU